CACUCUAACAAGGGAAGCUUUGAAUCGUGGUCUGGUUGUUGCCAGCCUCGGCAGGUCUGGCGGGUCAUCUUUACAUGACUCUUUGGUUAAAACUGUGACAUAGCAUCGAGGUUUCUUUUCUUUAUUUGCUUGUCAUGAUCUUAUCGGUGGCAUGUUGUAAUGUGUCUAACAUGUUUUUGUCAUUCCGGGAAACCUUCUUUCAUCUGAUUCAUGGAAGGAAGCUCUGAAAGGAGUGACAUCUGUUGUAUGUAGUCCUUUAACUCUGCUGCUAAAUUACCAACCAAAAAUCAAAUCUCAGCUAAAUUUACACAGACAGCCAUUCACAAUUUAAAUGUGACAUUCAUUUUAAAAUUUCCUGGUUUACUUAAGAUUUAAUUUGAAGCUUAUUUUCU